UACAGAGGGUGCGAGCGUUGUCCGGAAUCACUGGGCGUAAAGGGCGCGUAGGCGGCCUGAUAAGUAGGGGGGUGAAAUCCUGUGGCUUAACUGCAGGGCUGCCUCCUAGACUGUUAGGCUCGAGCACGGUGGAGGCAGAUGGAAUUCCCGGUGUAGCGGUGAAAUGCGCAGAUAUCAGGAGGAACACCGGUGGCGAAGGCGGCUUCCUGGACCGACACUGACGCUGAGGCGCGAAAGCCAGGGGAGCAAACGGG
rnacentral:rRNA from 1 species